UGGGAAGCAAACCNAAAAGGAGUUCCAGAAANCAAUGAUCAAAAGAGCCAAGCAGCCUCUGGAAGUCGUUUACUCCGAUGUCUGUGGACCUCUUGAUGUGCAAACAGUGGGAGGUAAUAAAUAUUUCCUACUCUUUGUUGAUGAAUAUACUAGAAAAAUGUGGCUUUAUUUGCUAAAAGAGAAGAAGGAAGUAUACUCACACUUUCUUCAUUUCUGUGCUAUGGUUGAGAGGGAAAAAGAGUUGCAGAUCAAAGUCUUCAGGACUGACGGUGGUGGUGAAUUUAAUUCGGGAGAGCUGAACAAAUUUUGUCAAGAUAAGGGGAUCGUUCAUGAGGUGAUAGCCCCUUACACACCCCAACACAAUGGUAUUGCCGAGAGAAGAAAUAGAACUCUGCUGGACAUGACAAGAUGUAUGAUCAAAGGAAAAGAUUUGCCUCGAAAUUUAUGGGGAGAAGCGGUAUCUACUGCUGUCUAUCUGCUGAACAGGAGCCCAACUAAAGCCUUGACUGAUUGCACUCCAGAAGAGGCU
rnacentral:lncRNA from 1 species